CUCUCAGGUGACCCGCUUUCUCAGCAUGAGGAAGCUUAUUCUAUCUCUCUUCCUUUUUGUCUGUUAAACUUUCUGCUCCUUAACCCACUCCACGUGUGUGUCCAUGUUGUUAAUCAUCGGCGCGAGACAACUAACUACAGGUAUUGCCCCAGAGGAAGUGGUUUCACUUUGAAUGGUUUGGCACUAUUGUCAAAUAUCAUACUUGUUAUAAGUCUUUGCAGAUUUUCUAUUUAUUCUUGAGUCAGUUUUGGUAGUUUGUGUGUUUGUAGGAAUUGUUUUUCAAUGUAUUAGGGCAUCUAAUUUGUUGAAAUACAAUGUUCAUAGUAUUUUCUUAUAAUCCUUUUUAUUUCUGUCAAAUCAGUGGUAACAUCCCCUCUUCUUUUUCUAAAAAAAUAAUUUCAGCUUUUAUUUUUGAUUCAGGGGAUACAUGUGCAGGUUUGUUACAUGAGUAUAUUGCAUGAUGUUGAGGUUUGAGAUCUGAAUGGUCCUGUCAUCCGGAUGGGAUACUAGUGAACAUAGUACCCAACAGUUAGUUUUUCAACCCUUGCCCCCUUCCCUACCUCCCCCCAUCAGUCCCUAGUGCCUAUUAUUGCCAUCUUUAUGUCCAUGAGUACCCAAUGUUUAGCUACCACUAUAAGUGAGUACAUGCAGUAUUUGGUGUUCUGUUCCUAUGUUAAUUAACUUAGGAUAAUGGCCUCCAGCUGCAUCCUUGUUGCUGCAAAGGACAUGAUUUCAUUCUUUUUAUGUCUGCACGGUAUGCCACGGUGUAUGUGUGCCACAUUUUCUUUAUCCAGUCCACCAUUGAUAGGCACCUAGGUUGAUUCCAUGUCUUCACUACAGUGAAUAUUGCUGUGAUGAAUAUAUGAGUGAAUGUGUCUUUUUGGUAGAACAGUUUAUUUUCUUUUGGAUGUAUGCCAGUAAUGGGAUUGCUGGGUCAAAUGAUAAUUCUGUUUUAAGUUCUUUGAGAAUUCUCCAAAUUGCUCUCCAAAGUGGCUGA
rnacentral:lncRNA from 1 species